GGAUGCGAUCAUACCAGCCACUAAUGCACCGGAUCCCAUCAGAACUCCGAAGUUAAGCGUGCUUGGGCGAGAGUAGUACUAGGAUGGGUGACCCCCUGGGAAGUCCUCGUGUUGCAUCCC
rfam:Ipomoea nil DNA, scaffold: scaffold2927, cultivar: Tokyo-kokei standard.